AUUGAACGCUGGCGGCAUGCCUUACACAUGCAAGUCGAACGGUAACGGGCCUUCGGGUGCCGACGAGUGGCGCACGGGUGAGUAAUACAUCGGAACGUGCCCGAUCGUGGGGGAUAACGAGGCGAAAGCUUUGCUAAUACCGCAUACGAUCUACGGAUGAAAGCAGGGGACCGCAAGGCCUUGCGCGGACGGAGCGGCCGAUGGCAGAUUAGGUAGUUGGUGGGAUAAAAGCUUACCAAGCCGACGAUCUGUAGCUGGUCUGAGAGGAUGAUCAGCCACACUGGGACUGAGACACGGCCCAGACUCCUACGGGAGGCAGCAGUGGGGAAUUUUGGACAAUGGGCGCAAGCCUGAUCCAGCCAUGCCGCGUGAAGGAUGAAGGCCUUCGGGUUGUAAACUGCUUUUGUACGGAACGAAAAGCCUUCUUUUAAUACAGGAGGGUCAUGACGGUACCGUAAGAAUAAGCACCGGCUAACUACGUG
rnacentral:rRNA from 1 species